rnacentral:lncRNA from 1 species
CUUAGCUUAAUUUAUUGAUGAAGUAAGUUGAGCAACUUGUUUCCAUUAUUGCUGGCCAAUACUAGGCACCAUAGUAUACUCUGAUGUAUCAUACAACGAACUCAACCAACCAUUCCUUGCCUCCUCAACCUUCCUAGUAUGUAAGCAUUAGGGGUGCAAAUGGAUUGAGUUGGAUUAGGUCAUAAGUGGCCUCGACCCAAACCAGUUCCUUUAUUGAGUCUUGGACCUAGAUUUGGCCCAAUGAAAGAUUGGAUUGGAUUGGGUUAGAUCCAUGAUCAAAUUUUUUGAUCCAACGGAUCAUUCGGAU